rnacentral:rRNA from 1 species
AUUGAACGCUGGCGGCAGGCCUAACACAUGCAAGUCGAGCGGAUGACGGGAGCUUGCUCCUUGAUUCAGCGGCGGACGGGUGAGUAAUGCCUAGGAAUCUGCCUGGUAGUGGGGGACAACGUUUCGAAAGGAACGCUAAUACCGCAUACGUCCUACGGGAGAAAGCAGGGGACCUUCGGGCCUUGCGCUAUCAGAUGAGCCUAGGUCGGAUUAGCUAGUUGGUGGGGUAAUGGCUCACCAAGGCGACGAUCCGUAACUGGUCUGAGAGGAUGAUCAGUCACACUGGAACUGAGACACGGUCCAGACUCCUACGGGAGGCAGCAGUGGGGAGUAUUGGACAAUGGGCGAAAGCCUGAUCCAGCCAUGCCGCGUGUGUGAAGAAGGACUUCGGAUUGUAAAGCACUUUAAGUUGGGAGGAAGGGCAGUAAGUUAAUACCUUGCUGUUUUGACGUUACCGACAGAAUAAGCACCGGCUAACUCUGUGCCAGCAGCCGCGGUAACAC